rnacentral:rRNA from 1 species
UCUGGCGACCAUAGUGCGGUAGUUCUACCUGAAUCCAUUCCGAACUCAGAAGUAAAAUGCCGUAAUGCCGAUGGUAGUGUGGGGUUUCCCCAUGUGAGAGUAGGGCAUCGCCAGAU